GACGAACCGUGCGACCGUUGUUCGGAUUCACUGGGCUUAAAGGGCGCGUAGGCGGUCCGCCAAGUCCGGGGUGAAAGCCUCCAGCUCAACUGGAGAAGUGCCCCGGAUACUGGUGGCCUCGAGGGGGGUAGGGGCACGCGGAACUUCCGGUGGAGCGGUGAAAUGCGUAGAUAUCGGAAGGAACGCCGGCGGCGAAAGCGGCGUGCUGGGCCCCCCCUGACGCUGAGGCGCGAAAGCGUGGGGAGCAAACAGG
rnacentral:rRNA from 1 species